rnacentral:rRNA from 1 species
UACGUAGGGUGCAAGCGUUAUCCGGAAUUAUUGGGCGUAAAGAGCUCGUAGGCGGUUUGUCGCGUCUGCUGUGAAAACUGGGGCUCAACCCCCAGCCUGCAGUGGGUACGGGCAGGCUAGAGUUCGGCAGGGGAGACUGGAAUUCCUGGUGUAGCGGUGAAAUGCGCAGAUAAUCAGGAGGAACACCGGUGGCGAAGGCAGAUCUCUGGGCCAUUACUGACGCUGAGGAGCGAAAGCAUGGGGAGCGAACAG